AAAAGGAGCAAAAAGCCAAGCAGUUUUGGUUUAAAUAAAUUCUCUUUUCUCUGCUUGCUGGUUGCAUUGCUCUACUAGAAGAAGGAAUCUACAGUUACUUCUGAGCUAAUUCACUAGAACACUAUAUUUUAGCGUGGAUCAUUUGUUGGAUAUUGAAUAUCUCUCUCUACAGAAGCAAAAAAUUAAGUUUGAGUAAAGCAUCUUCUCUUUUUUUCUAAUUCAUCUGAUUCUCUUCUCGUUACAACUAAGUCUCACUUUCUGCGAAUAAAAUCAGGUGUAAAACAUUGAUGGCUUACAAGAAUAACAUUGGAGGAAUGAAGGAUUUUGCCAUUCCGGAUUACAUACUCGUCCUCGGAGCAAAGAUUCGCAAUGCCCUUUGAUAGUUUUCAUAAACUCCAAAAGUGGUGGUCAGCUUGGUGGCGAGCUUCUUACUACCUAUAAUUCCCUCCUCAACAAAAAUCAGGUUGCAGGUGGAGAUGGUACGGCGAGCUGGAUUAUCGGAGUUGUCGCCGAUCUUAAGUUGCAUCGGCCACCACCAGUUGCAACAGUGCCAUUGGGAACCGGAAACAAUAUCCCCUUUUCAUUUGGAUGGGGAAGGAAAAAUCCUGCUACUGACAAAGAAGCUGUUAUGUCAUUCCUGAAUCAAGUAAAAGAUGCAAAGGAACUGAAAAUAGACAGCUGGCAUGUUAUAAUGAAGACUCCAAAAGAAUGUUCUUGCGAGCAUAUUGCCCCUGUUGAAUCUGACAUGGUAGAACCACUUCUCGAUCGGCGCCAGCAAACUAGGCAAAAGUAACCAUUUUGUGACUGGUACCCACGAAAUAGGUACAUCAAGUGAGACAAACACGAAAUAGUAACCAACUCAUUAGUUGCACUUAGCUGUUGCUACAGCCUGGUUGCACUUAUCUGAAUUAAUAAUUUUUAAAUUGAAAGACUCAUAUGUGAAGUACCAAAAAAAGAAGAUACAAUGGAAAACAAGCGUAAUAAACAGAGUUGUGAAGGAGAAGUUUAUACAAUUAUACCUAGAAUGAUUUAGAGUGUGUUUAACAAACGCGUUGGAAAAGAGAGAAGCGCGUUUGAGUCUCUUGAACCAUAUUUUUUAUUUUUUAUUUUAUAAAAGAAUACUAGUAACCAUUACCUUCAUGGUUUUACAGUAGUUCUUUCUAAUUCUUCGUUUUAUUUUUUUUGUCAUCAAAAUCUUUAAGAUUUGGUUCAAUCACUAACAAAGUGAAUAUUUUUAUC